rnacentral:rRNA from 1 species
GACGAACGCUGGCGGCGUGCUUAACACAUGCAAGUCGAACGGUGAAGGGGUCUGCUUUUGUGGGCCCUGGAUGAGUGGCGCACGGGUGAGUAACACGUGAGUAACCUGCCCCCUUCUUCUGGAUAACCGCAUGAAAGUGUGGCUAAUACGGGAUAUUCUGGGUCUGUCGCAUGAUGGGUCUGGGAAAGAUUGCGCCUUUGGGUGUUUUUGGUGGGGGAUGGGCUCGCGGCCUAUCAGCUUGUUGGUGGGGUGAUGGCCUACCAAGGCGGUGACGGGUAGCCGGCCUGAGAGGGUGGACGGUCACACUGGGACUGAGACACGGCCCAGACUCCUACGGGAGGCAGCAGUGGGGAAUAUUGCACAAUGGGCGCAAGCCUGAUGCAGCGACGCCGCGUGAGGGAUGGAGGCCUUCGGGAUGUAAACCUCUUUCGCCAGUGAAGCAGGCCUGCUCCUUGUGGGUGGGUUGACGGUAGCUGGAGAAGAAGCGCCGGCUAACUACGUG